AACGCACGAGACCUGCGGACCUGCGGAGGGAUCAUUACCGAGUUAUACAACUCCCAAACCCACUGUGAACCUUACCUCAGUUGCCUCGGCGGGACCGCCCCGGCCGCCGCGCAAGCGGCGCCGGACUCCAAGGCGCCCGCCGCAGGGACCCAAAACUCUUUUGCAUUACGCCCAACGGCGGGAAUUUUUUCUCUGAGUGCAUAAGCAAAACAAAUGAAUCAAAACUUUCAGCAAUGGAUC
rnacentral:misc_RNA from 1 species